rnacentral:rRNA from 1 species
GACGAACGCUGGCGGCGUGCUUAACACAUGCAAGUCGAACGGAAAGGCCCUGCUUUUGUGGGGUGCUCGAGUGGCGAACGGGUGAGUAACACGUGAGUAACCUGCCCUUGACUUUGGGAUAACUUCAGGAAACUGGGGCUAAUACCGGAUAGGAGCUCCUGCUGCAUGGUGGGGGUUGGAAAGUUUCGGCGGUUGGGGAUGGACUCGCGGUUUAUCAGCCUGUUGGUGGGGUAGUGGCUUACCAAGGGUUUGAAGGGUAGCCGGGCUGAGAGGGUGACCGGGCAGAUGGAGACGGAGAAACAGCCCAGCCACCUUAGGGAGGCAGGAGUGGGGAAUAUGCCCAAAGGGCGGGAUGAGUGAUACAGGUGCGCAGCGUGGGGAACGACGGCUGUCGGGGUGUAAACCGCUUUCGCGUGUGACGAGGCGUGGGUGACGGUAAUGGGCAAAGAAGCGCCGGCUAACUACGU